UGACUUCCCAUUUCCCUAUCUCACAUUUCAUUUCAUUCCAUCUGCCCCUAUUUAAGCUGCUUCAACCUUCUUCUUUUUCUUCUUCCCGUAAGAUCACAAAAGGGUUCAUAGCAUAGUAUCUUCUGAAAAUUGAUCAGGUUAGCGUUGAAGAGAAUGAAGGCUGUGAUUAUUACAGUGCUAGUGUUGAUGCUUCUGGCAAGCUCUUCUGAGGCUAGAGAUAGGAAGAAACUCAUGACGAAAUUGCAGAAGGAAGAACUGAGCAAUAAAUCUGAUGAUAGUGGUCACCAUCAAAUCCCUCGAAAGGAGUAUGGAAAACCAGGAUCUGGCCAACGUACUGUGAGUGAGGAGUUUAAUCACCAUUACAUACCUCGGAAGGAUUAUGGUACACCUGGUCAGGGAGGAAAUUAAAUGUUUCUCAGAUGCAUCAUAUUGUUGUGUAUAUAUAUAUAUAUAUAUAUAUAUAUAUAUAUAUAUAUAUAUAUAUAUAUAUAUAUAUAUAUAUAUAUGCAUGCAUGAGUCAUGGAGUGUUUGAUGAGUAAUGAAUGCUAGUUAUGUGUGUUAUGUAUAAUAUAUGUAUGCAAGGAGUUACUGAGAUGAAUUAGUUUAUGAAAUUAUUAGAUGGAAGAACUAGGGCAACCUAUGAUGAAAACCCUGGUGGUUUUAUGUACUUAGGUGGAGUUGGUAACUCUGCAUUUGUUGCUUCAGCAUAGCUAUCUAAUCAAUGAGUUCUGAUAGUAAAUAAUUAAACAAGACUUUGUUUGAUCAA